UUCGCUGGUGAUCAUCCUAACUGCUCUGAGGUAAUCAAAUGGAUCAUCUCCCGUGUUGUAUUUAGGAGCAUCCAAUUUCAAGUACUCCGUCAUUUGGACUUUACCUCCAGAUGAGCUAGGUUCAUGUCUGUCAACAACAGGGGCUACUGGUUCUGGUGGUAGUACUGGGUCAUUUGGCUCUACGUGUGCUGCACUUGGAUG
rnacentral:lncRNA from 1 species